CUGUAAAAAAUUACUGAUGCAAAAAGUUGUACAAAUGAGGAAAUACAUGUUGGCUCAACAUAAUGGUUGUGUCAAAAAAGAAAAAUAUGUUUGGUCAAUGAUUGCAUGAUUUCCAUGAAUGUACUACAAAAUGUUCAUCAAGAGAAAAUAAAUAAUUGUGUUGAGAGAACUUUUAACGUUGCACAAAAAAUAUUAUGUUGGCCGAGCAAGAGGGAACAGCGUCAAUCGUCUGAGCAUGCGCAAAGGAGUUCUACCAGGUGCAGGCAGCAGGCUGGAGUUUCCCCCACCACGAGUCACGACAUUGCACUGGUUUGCAUCUACCGUACUGACCUGAAGUUAGCCAUUCUCUUCUGACAUCUCUGGACAAUCACACCCAGGGGUUGCUAAAGAUGUACAGAGCCAAAGCAAGACAGGGAAGGUGAAACAACUUGGAUGAACUUCUGGAACAACUGGAUGCCCAGCAGAAGAAAGAAAUUCAUAAAGGUUUGAAACAACAUGAGGGUGAGUAUAUGAUGACAGAACUUUCAUUUUUCGGUGGAGUAUCUCUUUAAGGGAUCUGCGGACUUGCUGCACUUGUUAGCUGAUUAUCCCCUGCAGAUCGUAAUCUUAAUGUAUUUCAGGUAACUAUUUCAUGAAGUUGAAAUGAUGCCCAAUGGUGAAAAGAGUAGGUGAUCCUAAA